rnacentral:rRNA from 1 species
CCGAUUAGAUAGUUGGUGGGGUAAUGGCCUACCAAGUCAGCGAUCGGUAGCCGACCUGAGAGGGUGAUCGGCCACACUGGAACUGAGAGACGGUCCAGACUCCUACGGGAGGCAGCAGUGGGGAAUAUUGGGCAAUGGGGGAAACCCUGACCCAGCGACGCCGCGUGAGGGAAGAAGGUUUUCGGAUUGUAAACCUCUGUUCUUGGUGAAGAGUGGAAGACGGUAACCAAGGAGGAAGCCCCGGCUAACUACGUGCCAGCAGCCGCGGUAAUACGUAGGGGGCGAGCGUUGUCCGGAAUGAUUGGGCGUAAAGGGCGCGUAGGCGGCUGUUUAAGUCUGGAGUGGAAGUCCUAUUUUUAAGGUAGGAAUUGCUUUGGAAACUGAGCAGCUUGAGUGCAGGAGAGGUCAUCGGAAUUCCCGGUGUAGCGGUGAAAUGCGUAGAGAUCGGGAGGAACACCAGUGGCGAAGGCGGGUGACUGGACUGCAACUGACGCUGAGGCGCGAAAGUGUGGGGAGCAAACAGGAUUAGAUACCCUGGUAGUCCACACUGUAAACGAUGAAUGCUAGGUGUAGGGGGUAUCGACCCCUUCUGUGCCGCAGUCAACACAAUAAGCAUUCCGCCUGGGGAGUACGGUCGCAAGAUUAAAACUCAAAGGAAUUGACGGGGCCCGCACAAGCAGCGGAGCAUGUGGUUUUAUUCGAAGCAACGCGAAGAACCUUACCAGUUCUUGACAUCCAGGUAAAGCUGCAGAGAUGCAGUGUUGUGCUUGCACAAUCUGAGAACAGGUGUGCAUGUUGUCGUCAGC